rfam:Daphnia pulex DAPPTscaffold_98_Cont4363, whole genome shotgun sequence.
GACCGUGUGGCCUAAUGGAUAAGGCGUCGGACUUCUAACUGAAGUUGUCAUCCGAAAAUUGCGGGUUCGAGUCCCGCCUCGGUUA